CUUAAAAAAAACAAAAAAAAUAAAAGAAAUGAAAAGUGUGGCAAGAAACCACACUUUAGUGGUAAAAAAUGACAUAACGCUUAUGUGGCGGGGAAGGGAGUGCGGUCUGUGGCACCACUCCCUCCAGCCUUAUCUUCUCCAUAUUCGGAUAUUCCAAUCAUCGACUCAAAUCUCUCUAUAAUCAACCAUCAGAUUGCCUCACCCUCACAGCCAUUGUUUAUGCCCUAGACGAUUACAUUUGACACACAAACCUUCAAAAUCCCGCUUCGCAUGUUCGCCAGAAGGUUCUUGCUACCUCUACUUCGUCGACUAUGGUUUACCUUUUGGGUUUUGGUUAAGAAGUGGUAUGCCUUUAAAGAACGUCAUGCCAAUUUAGUUGGUCCCACUCGAUUAUUUGUCGCCGGGAAACCGGUGUAGAUGUGUGCAUCUCCGUCGCCAACCUUCUGAUCAGAAGAUCCUUUAUUCUUUUACAUGGUGGUCAGUUGAAGAUGAAAGUUGAAGGAAGGAAAUGGGAAGAAAUUAUAGAAGAGAAGGUGAUUUGAUGUUUGUUUGUACUUAAAGUUAUGCACACCGAUUGUUUGAUAUAAAGUCUAAGUGAUGUUUUUAACUGUUUACUUAAAUAGGGAAGCAUGAAUAGUUCAUUAUGAAGAAGGAACAGAAAAUCUUGUAUUAGUUGUUUUUCUUUUCAAAAAGAUUGUGAAUAAAUACAAACUUACAGUUA